GGAGGGGUUCCCGAGCGGCCAAAGGGAUCAGACUGUAAAUCUGACGGCUAAGCCUUCGUAGGUUCGAAUCCUACCCCCUCCACCA
rnacentral:tRNA from 2 species